UCCAGACUCCUACGGGAGGCAGCAGUGGGGAAUAUUGGGCAAUGGGCGAAAGCCUGACCCAGCAACGCCGCGUGAAGGAAGAAGGCUUUCGGGUUGUAAACUUCUUUUGACAGGGAAGAGCAGAAGACGGUACCUGUCGAAUAAGCCACGGCUAACUACGUGCCAGCAGCCGCGGUAAUACGUAGGGGGCAAGCGUUAUCCGGAUUUACUGGGUGUAAAGGGAGCGUAGACGGCAUGGCAAGUCAGAUGUGAAAGCCCGGGGCUCAACCCCGGGACUGCAUUUGAAACUGUCAGGCUGGAGUGCAGGAGAGGUAAGUGGAAUUCCUAGUGUAGCGGUGAAAUGCGUAGAUAUUAGGAGGAACACCAGUGGCGAAGGCGGCUUACUGGACUGUAACUGACGUUGAGGCUCGAAAGCGUGGGGAGCAAACAGGAUUAGAUACCCUAGUAC
rnacentral:rRNA from 1 species